CCCCAGCGCCACGAGUGGGGAUCUUAUUUAUUUGGCCUAAAGCGUUCGUAGCCGGUUUUGUAAAUCUUUUGUGAAAUCGUUGGGCUUAACUCAACGGCGCGCAGAAGACACUGCAUUACUAGGGACCGGGAAGAGUCAAGGGUAUGCCAAGGGGAGCGGUAAAAUGCAAUAAUCCUUGGUAGACCACCUGUGGCGAAGGCGUUUGACUAGAACGGGUCCGACGGUGAGGGACGAAAGCCAGGGGAGCAAACCG
rnacentral:rRNA from 1 species